rnacentral:misc_RNA from 1 species
AUCCAACAUAAGACUUAAUUUGAUUAUUGAUAUGAGUAAAAUGACCAUAAAUUGAAAUUUAGUUGUAUUUAACAAGUAUUUUCAUAUGUAUACAUAGAUAGGAAGAAAAUUAGGUAAGAUUUAUGAUGCAGUUCAAAUGGCAAUAAGCUUUAAAAUGCAUCUUUGAGGUGUAGUGUUCAAGACUUCAAACCCCAUUGCCACUAAGGCUUGUUUGGUUUAACUGUUGAAAGAAGCUGAUAGCUGAUAGUUAUUCCUAUUAGCAGAAGGUGGCUAAUUUAUGUUGAAUAUUUCGUAAAACUUUG